CCCUGUGAAGCCACCAGAGACCUCCUGAGAGCAGAGCUGCGGGCGCUAGCCUGGAAGCCCUGACUGCCCGCACACUCUUUCAGCCACCUUGGACUUCUCUGUCCUUUCAGAAGUGACCAAGGCCCUAGAGAAAGUGGCACAGCUCUUGGACCCGGAUGGGUCAGCCUCAGCACCUGGAGCUCCAGGGCUUUCACCUGCAGCCAACUUGAGCACCUUUGGGGAGCUGGAGAUAAGAAUUGCAGAGGCAGAGCCAAAAGUGGGCAGGACUUGACCUGUGGUGUUAUUUCAGUUACAAAGUGCAUUGACAUACAUUAUCUUGUUUGAUCUUUGGUUAGACAAUAAACAGAAUUUUCUUAUCAGAAGACUAAAAAAUUGGAGAUGUUCAAAAGUUCAGUAAUCUUUACUUCUGGAAAUGAUUAAUCAAAAAGAAUAAAGUGUUCUGUCUAACACCAUCUAAAAGAGAAACACCUUGAUAUGAGAAUCAGAAGACCAAAGUUCUAGUUCCAGCUCUGCAUUAAAUGUAUGCCCUUAGGUGAAUCACUCACUUUGUCUAGACUUUAGUCUCCCCAUCUGUUAAAUGAAGGUGUUCAUAUGUUGGGGCGGGGGACAGGAGGACACUCUAGAAAUAUUGAGGACCAGAUAACUUAAAAACCCUCCAUUAAAGAGGCUUCCAGACUGGUAAGGAGAAAGAAAUAAUACAGUGGAGAGAGUGAACACCAUUCUCCAAGACCCCUUUCAGCUUUAGCAUUGCAUAAUUUUAAGUUUGGCUUGCAGAAGUCACUCUGAGGCACUCCAAGAUUCUGGAUCUUUGCAGAUGGUUGAAGGCUGCACUAAGACUUGGAGGGACUCUCGAAGAAGUGGGAGCUGUGGUGGGUGCUGUGCCUACCAGGUUGUGGGAGAAGAGUGAAUGAAUGCCCCUGGCAUGGAAGAGUCCCCUGAGAAGAACAUUCAAUUCUGAAGAUCUUACAAAGGUUUUUGCUCUGGAUGCAGCUUCAAGAGGCACACUCAUGAUUCAUAAUGGUGGCAGCUAUCUGACAGCUACUAAAUGGAGGGACUUGAACUGGGAUUUGAACCCAGGUCCACCUGACCCAGAACCUGUGCUUCUCACCCACUCUGCUGUGGUUAUUCUACUAGUCAGCAAAGAAUUCUGUGAGAAGCAUCCAUCUGUCUGAGGGACCAUUCUGCAUUCCAGAAGAGACAGAACCCAUCGCCUCACUGUUUGCCCUUAAUGGUACCUGAGCUCCCUAUGAUGGCCAGCAUCUGCCCACUCCUCACUUUGAAGCUCAGAUUUUGGAUGCCCAGCUCACAAGAAUCCUUGUGAGAUGCCCAAGGCAUCUUGAACUGAGCCAGCUUCUCAAACCAGGGCACCUGGGAGUCCAUGUCCACCUGUGGGGAGAUAUUGCAAGGUUCUUCAGAGGGCGGAAUAGAGGGUUUCAGCAACUUCUGUUCAACUGUACAGGAGACAUCCUCCUGCUGUUGCACAAAAGGCCUGAGGGGCCCCCACCUACCAUGCUGAGAACCUGAAGCUGCCAUUUCCAAGUCUGAAGUUAAGACAUGGGAAGCAUGUGUAAUAGCAGAAUGGAAACAAAAACAAAGCAAAACAAUGUUUUCAGUUUUUCAGUUAAUGAUAAUUUACUAAUGAUUUGUUAAAUGUUUAUUACAUGCAAGGCAUUGUGUAAAUCUCUAUUUAUUAUCCCAUUCAGUCCUCCUUGCAGACCUAUAACAUAGGUACCAUUAUAAUCACUGUUUUUACAGGUGAGGCUCAGAGCAGUUACUUGUUCAAGGUCACACAGCUAACAAGUGGCAGAACAGAAAAUGCUUAUGGUGAGGCUCAUUAGCUUGUCCUAAUUCACAUUCACAGGAAGCCAGAGUUGGGCCUCUGAAGUUUACCAUUCUGCCCCCCCAGCGUAUUCCAUCUGAACUGCCAGGGGUCUACCCCCAAGGAGGUCUGGUAAAUGGGGUCUUGAAUCUGACCAGGGGGUCCUUCAGAGCCUCUGAAAGGCCAGGAGUCCUUGCACUUUGGAUAUUUUAUUAGCUCCAGGGACAGUGUACUUUGCAAGCAAACAAAUAACAAAACACGAAGCUGGUGAAACCUGAAAGUCUAUAGUUUAGUGAAACCUGAAAGUCUGUAGUUUAGUGAAUAGCGUCACAGCAUUGUUAAUUUCUUGGUUUUCAUUAUUUUGCUCUGGGUAUGCAAGAUGUUAACAUUAGGGGAAGUUGGGCAAAGGUUACAUGGAAACUGUACUAUUUUUGUAACUUUCCCAAAAGUCUAAACUUACUUCAAAAUCUGAAGUUAAAGUUUGAGAGAUUUGUUUUUUCCCCAACAGGGUCACAUAAUUUCUUUAUGUUUUAACAGAGGUCUUGUUCUCUAAUGCUUCUCAACUUCCAGCUACAGUAUAUAUAGCUGAAGGAAGUCUUGUGGUACUUUCACCCAACAUGUGAGGCAUCAACUUGGCAGAGGGCCCUCAGGAUGGGCUCACCCUUACCUUCCACUUGGGGAAUCAUUUGGCCUUCCCUGCCCACUCCUCCCACCUUAUCCUCAGGUAUGCCUCUACCUGGUAGCUGAGAUCCUGGACCUCCAAGGUGUUGGACUGGCCACUGUAGGUGAAGUAUAGGCUGUUGUCAUUUUCAGAGGAGAACAAGCUGUCCUGGAGGCCCUGCUGAGAAACAUGACAGAGCUGCCACUCACGCACUGAUGUGUUCAGUCAAGUAAGCAAGCAAGCAAGCAUCCAAUACUUAUUGGGAGCCCACAUGAUGCUGCAAGUUUGGAGUUUGGGAUAUGACAGUGAAAAAGAUGGUCUCUGAGAAACUUAAACUUUUUAUUGAGGUAAAAUUGGUAUAUAACAUUAUGCUAGUGUCAGGUGCACAACACAACAAUUUAAGAUUUGUGUACACUGCAAAGUCACUACAAUAUGUGUAGUUACCAUCUGUCAUCAUGCAAAGAAACUUAGAUUAAGAAAAUUUUUUUUAAUGUUUAUUUUUGAGAGAGAGACAGAGACAGAAUGUGAGCAGGGGAGGGGCAGAGAGGGAGACCCAGAAUCCAAAGCAGGCUCCAGGCUUUGAGCUGUCAGCACAGAGCCUGAUGCAGGGCUCAAACCCACAAACCAUGAGAUCAUGACCUGAGCCAAAGUCAGAUGCCCAACCAACUGAGCUACCCAGGUGCCCCAGAAAAGCGUAGAUUUUAAUGAAUGGGACAGGUGGUCAAGAUGGAGCAAGAUAGGCCAGGUGUAGAGCAGGCUGACCUCAAGCAUCCAUUCAGGGUAUAUUUAUACUGUGUACACAAUGCCUACAUGUGCUUUGUGUGAAAAUAAAAUGACUUACAUUAUGUGAAAAUAGUCUCCAGAAGUCUCUGUCAAACUUCCCCUGUAGUGGCAGAGGUCAGAAGUCCUUGGAAAGGACCACAGAAAUGGAAGAUCAAUACAGGUGGUCAUCUAUGACAGUAACUAUCAGUGAGUAUUCCCCAGAAUUGCAGGGCAGUAUGAAAACAGCAGACCAUGGCUACUUAUCUUAUCUGAUGUUAGAAUUAUUACCAUAAAGAUCCUAAAUUAUACAGAAGAAACUGGGAAACCUGAAUACCUACUUUAGCAGAAGGACUAUCUCUGUGGAAUAGAGAGGAAUGCAAGAGAGAAGGGUACAGGGAAGAACGAGGGGAGUGAACUUCACAGUUCUUGGUAGUUAAGUUGCAGGUACAUAAGAGAUCACUGUUUUUUCAGCUGAUC